rfam:Sphaerobolus stellatus SS14 unplaced genomic scaffold SPHSTscaffold_57, whole genome shotgun sequence.
GGCCGCCUGGCGUAAUGGCAGCGCGUCUGACUACGAUGUGAUGUUAUCAGGAGGUUGCAGGUUCGAUCCCUGCGGUGGUCA